GAUGAACGCUGGCGGCGUGCUUAACACAUGCCAGUCGAACGGAAAGGCUCCUGCUUGCAGGGGUACUCGAGUGGCGAACGGGUGCGUAACACGUGGGUGAUCUGCCCUGCACUUCGGGAUAAGCCUGGGAAACUGGGUCUAAUACCGGAUAGGACCACAUUUUGGAUGGUGUGGUGGAAAUUUUUUCGGGGUGGGAUGGGCUCGCGGCCUAUCAGCUUGUUGGUGGGGUAAUGGCCUACCAAGGCGUCGACGGGUAGCCGGCCUGAGAGGGGGUACGGCCACAUUGGGACUGAGAUACGGCCCAGACUCCUACGGGAGGCAGCAGUGGGGAAUAUUGCACAAUGGGCGCAAGCCUGAUGCAGCGACGCCGCGUGGGGGAUGACGGCCUUCGGGUUGUAAACUCCUUUCGCUAGGGACGAAGCGCAAGUGACGGUACCUGGAGAAGAAGCACCGGCUAACUACGUG
rnacentral:rRNA from 1 species